rnacentral:rRNA from 1 species
CCUACGGGGUGCAGCAGUGAGGAAUAUUGGUCAAUGGUCGGGAGACUGAACCAGCCAAGCCGCGUGAGGGAUGAAGGUACAGAGUAUCGUAAACCUCUUUUGUCAGGGAACAAAGGCGGGGACGUGUCCCCGGAUGCGUGUACCUGAAGAAAAAGCAUCGGCUAACUCCGUGCCAGCAGCCGCGGUAAUACGGAGGAUGCGAGCGUUAUCCGGAUUUAUUGGUUUUAAAGGGUGCGAAGGCGGUCUGUUAAGUCAGCGGUCAAAGCCCGGGGCUCAACCCCGGCCCGCAGUUGAGACUGGCAGUCUCGAGUUGGAGAGAAGUAUGCGGAAUGCGCGGUGUAGCGGUGAAAUGCAUAGAUAUCGCGCAGAACUCCGAUUGCGAAGGCAGCAUGCCGGCUCCACACUGACGCUGAGGCACGAAAGCGUGGGUAUCGAACAGGAUUAGAUACCCUAGUAGUC